GCUACGGUGGUUUAGUGGUUAGAGCGUCCGUCUCGGAUGCGGGAGGUAGUGGGUUCGAUCCCGGCCGAGUCAUACCA